rnacentral:rRNA from 1 species
GACGGUCUUGCUGUCACUUAUAGAUGGAUCCGCGCUGCAUUAGCUAGUUGGUAAGGUAACGGCUUACCAAGGCAACGAUGCAUAGCCGACCUGAGAGGGUGAUCGGCCACACUGGAACUGAGACACGGUCCAGACUCCUACGGGAGGCAGCAGUAGGGAAUCUUCCGCAAUGGGCGAAAGCCUGACGGAGCAACGCCGCGUGAGUGAUGAAGGUCUUCGGAUCGUAAAACUCUGUUAUUAGGGAAGAACAUAUGUGUAAGUAACUGUGCACAUCUUGACGGUACCUAAUCAGAAAGCCACGGCUAACUACGUGCCAGCAGCCGCGGUAAUACGUAGGUGGCAAGCGUUAUCCGGAAUUAUUGGGCGUAAAGCGCGCGUAGGCGGUUUUUUAAGUCUGAUGUGAAAGCCCACGGCUCAACCGUGGAGGGUCAUUGGAAACUGGAAAACUUGAGUGCAGAAGAGGAAAGUGGAAUUCCAUGUGUAGCGGUGAAAUGCGCAGAGAUAUGGAGGAACACCAGUGGCGAAGGCGACUUUCUGGUCUGUAACUGACGCUGAUGUGCGAAAGCGUGGGGAUCAAACAGGAUUAGAUACCCUGGUAGUCCACGCCGUAAACGAUGAGUGCUAAGUGUUAGGGGGUUUCCGCCCCUUAGUGCUGCAGCUAACGCAUUAAG